CGGGAGGCAGCAGUAGGGAAUCUUCCGCAAUGGGCGAAAGCCUGACGGAGCAACGCCGCGUGAGUGAUGAAGGUCUUCGGAUCGUAAAACUCUGUUAUUAGGGAAGAAUAAAUGUGUAAGUAACUAUGCACGUCUUGACGGUACCUAAUCAGAAAGCCACGGCUAACUACGUGCCAGCAGCCGCGGUAAUACGUAGGUGGCAAGCGUUAUCCGGAAUUAUUGGGCGUAAA
rnacentral:rRNA from 1 species